AUACGCCUGCGCUGUACGCUCUUCUACCGGGUAUUUUCUUGAGCCUAUUUUAUACCUUGGGGAUCAACCGCUGGCUCUGUGUGUAUGUCCGCUAGCCGGAAAACCUAAUGAGACGGAUGCGAUUCCCACUUGAACCAAGGGUUCAAGGACAAUGGUAGUGGCGGCAGUCUGGGUGUAUC
rnacentral:other from 1 species